AGCUCCAAUAGCGUAUAUUAAAGUUGUUGCGGUUAAAAAGCUCGUAGUUGGAUCUGAGGUUCCGUGUGGUGGUCGCCCAGUGGGUUGAUACUACUUUCACGAGCCAAAUUCUCUAGCGAGUCCUUGGUGCCCUUAAUUGUGUGUCUUGGACAGCUGGAAACUUUACUUUGAAAAAAUUAGAGUGCUCAAAGCAGUCACUUGACUGAAUGGUGGUGCAUGGAAUAAUGGAAUAGGACCUCGAGUCCAUUUUGUUGGUUUACAGUCCCGAGGUAAUGAUUAAGAGGGACAGACGGGGGCAUUCGUAUUGCGACGUUAGAGGUGAAAUUCUUGGAUCGUCGCAAGACGAACUACUGCGAAAGCAUUUGCCAAGAAUGUUUUCA
rnacentral:rRNA from 1 species